rnacentral:rRNA from 1 species
AUUGAACGCUGGCGGCAGGCCUAACACAUGCAAGUCGAGCGGAGCGGCGGACGGGUGAGUAAUGCCUAGGAAUCUGCCUGGUAGUGGGGGAUAACGUCCGGAAACGGGCGCUAAUACCGCAUACUAUCAGAUGAGCCUAGGUCGGAAUAGCUAGGUGGUGGGGUAAAGGCCUACCAAGGCGACGAGCCGUACCUGGUCUGAGAGGACGAUCCGUCACACUGGAACUGAGACACGGUCCAGACUCCUGCGGGAGGCAGCAGUGGGGAAUAUUGGACAAUGGGCGAAAGCCUGAUGCAGCCAUGCCGCGGGUGUGAAGAAGGUCUUCGGAUUGUAAAGCACGUUAAGUUGGGAGGCGUUACCAACAGAAUAAGCACCGGCUAACUUCGUGCCAGCCGCCGCGGUAAUUC